rnacentral:rRNA from 1 species
GGGGGAUAGCCUUUCGAAAGGAAGAUUAAUACUCCAUAACAUAUUGAACGGCAUCGUUUAAUAUUGAAAGCUCCGGCGGAUAGAGAUGGGCACGCGCAAGAUUAGCUAGUUGGUGAGGUAACGGCUCACCAAGGCGAUGAUCUUUAGGGGGCCUGAGAGGGUGAUCCCCCACACUGGUACUGAGACACGGACCAG